rnacentral:rRNA from 1 species
CAGUCGCCGCGGUAAUACAGAGGAUGCAAGCGUUAUCCGGAAUGAUUGGGCGUAAAGCGUCUGUAGGUGGCUUUUCAAGUCCGCCGUCAAAUCCCAGGGCUCAACCCUGGACAGGCGGUGGAAACUACCAAGCUGGAGUACGGUAGGGGCAGAGGGAAUUUCCAGUGGAGCGGUGAAAUGCGUUGAGAUCGAAAAGAACACCAACAGCGAAAGCACUCUGCUGGGACGACACUGACACUAAGAGACGAAGGCUAGGGGAGCAAAUGGGAUUAGAUACCCCAGUAGUCCCUGUCUCUUAUAC